CCUACGGGGGGCUGCAGUGGGGAAUCUUGGACAAUGGGGGCAACCCUGAUCCAGCCAUGCCGCGUGUGUGAAGAAGGCCUUCGGGUUGUAAAGCACUUUCAGCAGGGAGGAAGGCUUACCCCUAAUACGGGUGAGUACUUGACGUUACCUGCAGAAGAAGCACCGGCUAAUUUCGUGCCAGCAGCCGCGGUAAUACGAAAGGUGCAAGCGUUAAUCGGAAUUACUGGGCGUAAAGCGCGCGUAGGCGGUGUGUUAAGUCGGAUGUGAAAGCCCAGGGCUCAACCUUGGAAUUGCAUCCGAUACUGGCACGCUAGAGUGCAGUAGAGGGAGGUGGAAUUUCCGGUGUAGCGGUGAAAUGCGUAGAGAUCGGAAGGAACACCAGUGGCGAAGGCGGCCUCCUGGACUGACACUGACGCUGAGGUGCGAAAGCGUGGGGAGCAAACAGGAUUAGAUACCCCAGUAGUC
rnacentral:rRNA from 1 species